GGCCUUGUAGCUCAGCUGGUUAGAGCGUUGACUGUAGUGAAGCCUUCCCCUUGCAUUCGUGGGUUCGAAUCCCACCGAGGGUG
rnacentral:tRNA from 1 species